CCAAUUGCUAAUUAAGCUCAGUGCAUGCCUCCUGCAAACACCCACAGUGCUAAGUUUUUGCACACAUUAUACUGAAUGGAAACAGAUACACUUGGAGCAGUCUAGUCUCUAGCCUUUGGAUGAAAUCAGAAGGAUAAAAGAUUGAUGCAAAAAACGGUAUUUCUUAUAAGAGGUGAACUGGACCAGAACUGUUAAUUAAGGGCCAAGAACCAUAGACAACCAGGCUGUACCCCGCGCCCCUCUCCACUGUACUCACACACAAGAGUGCACAUGAAUGCUUGUUAAUGAGGAUUGAAGGUUUAACUGAAGAUUUUCCUGGCAGUUUUUCUGGAGAUCAGGCAUUCAUUCAUUCAUUCAAUAGGUAGGUGCAAAAACUGGCAGCAGGACUGAAGCAAAGGCAGGAACAAGAGCGGGACCAAAGGCAGGAACAAGAGCGGGACCAAAGGCAGGAACAAGAGCGGGGCCAAAGGCAGGAACAAGAGCGGGGCCAAAGGCAGGAACAAGAGCGGGGCCAAAGGCAGGAACAAGAGCGGGGCCAAAGGCAGGAACAAGAGCGGGACCAAAGGCAGGAACAAGAGCGGGACCAAAGGCAGGAACAAGAGCGGGACCAAAGGCAGGAACAAGAGCGGGGCCAAAGGCAGGAACAAGAGCGGGGCCAAAGGCAGGAACAAGAGCGGGGCCAAAGGCAGGAACAAGAGCGGGGCCAAAAGCAGGAACAAGAGCGGGACCAAAGGCAGGAACAAGAGCGGGACCAAAGGCAGGAACAAGAGCGGGACCAAAGGCAGGAACAAGAGCGGGACCAAAGGCAGGAACAAGAGCGGGACCAAAGGCAGGAACAAGAGCGGGACCAAAGGCAUGAACAGGAGUAGAGAAGGGAACAAGAGCUAGGAGCAAACCACAGUGCUCAAUGUAAGGCCAAUGCUCAGGCAUCGGAUGAGAGAAUAGGGCAGAGAUGACUCCACCUAAUGAAUAAGGCUGCUGGGUUGAUGUAACAAUUACACAGCUUUAUAUACAGUAUAUAUUUUAUAUAUUUUGAAAUGAUUUCACAAAUUGUAGCAUUGUGGCAAUGCCAUUUUUAUUAUAAUGUCUUUUCUAGACAGCUUUUUUAUACUGAUUACAUUGUAUAUAAUUGUAUAAAUAAUAUUUCUUUCAUGUCACUGGUUGUUUAGAAAACAGUCAAGGCAAGAUAAUUAGGCAAGCUAAAAUAUAUUAAAAAAUUUAUUUGAUUUGAAGUGUUGUAGGUGAUAGACUACCACAGCUUAAAUUUCAAGGGACAAGUGAAUGACAUACACCAUGGAAACAAAUGAAAAUACUGAGUGCAAAAUACUGUAUUGCAGCGGAACAGGAAUGCAAUCAGGAAUAAAAAGGGGCCUAAUAAUAACAGCUCAAAUUUCAACGUACUGAUUAGAAAGAAAAUCAAAGAGAUCAAGAUGUCCUGGUGUUUGAAAGUUAUAUUUGUGCUCAAGCAAAAAUGACAAGUUAUCACUUCCAGUAAAAUAAAGCUCCUAGAUUCAAGGCUUCGGAGCCAAGUUUUUAAUUCAGUAGAUGUAGUUUGUUAUUUUGGUGCUUUCAGAGCUACAGUAAGUUAAUUAGAUAAUUAGUUGGAAAGAGAAAUCGAGAGACAUUUUUGUUUUGAUUGAAAACUGUGUUCUGCUUUAAUAUGGACAAGUGAGCAUAAAGUUAUGUUCUUUUUAAUUAUCCAAUAAACACAUUAAUAAACUCCCCCACAAAAGAUAAUAUACAGUUUCUUGCCAAAAACCACUACAAUUAUUCUUGCAAAGUAAGUAUAAUUGAAGCAUCUUGUAUUGUCUUUUUAGCUUAUAAUACAUAAUAUCAGCAUAUUAAUAUCAAAGGACACAUGCACAGAAUAAAUAAUCACAAUGUAAAGGAAUGCCUUCAACCACAACUGGGAAAAAAAUGGUGUGUCAUACAGCACUGUGUUAAAUCAAAUACAGGUAUGGGACCUGUUAUCCAGAAUGCUGGGG